rnacentral:rRNA from 1 species
CAGUCGCCGCGGUAAUACAGAGGAUGCAAGCGUUAUCCGGAAUGAUUGGGCGUAAAGCGUCUGUAGGUGGCUUUUCAAGUCCGCCGUCAAAUCCCAGGGCUCAACCCUGGACAGGCGGUGGAAACUACCAAGCUGGAGUACGGUAGGGGCAGAGGGAAUUUCCGGUGGGGCGGUGAAAUGCGUUGAGAUCGGAAAAAACACCAACGGCGAAAGCACUCUGCUGGGCCGACACUGACACUGAGAGACGAAAGCUAGGGGAGCAAAUGGGAUUAGAUACCCCCGUAGUCCCUGUCUCUUAUAA